AGAAAAGUAGGAUAGUAUGUUCUUUGUCAAUGAUCAGAUGAUCCUUACAAAUGAUUGGGGUCCCUUUUAUAUAAUAGGAGAAACCCUAAAUAAGGUACAUUUCCAUUUACAGUAAAGAAUCUUAUUGGGACGGCUGUAUAACCGCCUAGUACGGAUUUGUACUGAUUCGUACAAAUCUAUUCCGUAAUUUACGCCAUUAUCUUGGGGACGUGGGGGGAAUCAUGUCCUUCUGUAAAAACUCACAACGGCACCAUCUCGGAGCCGGUCGUGCUUGGCUCUGAUGUUCCUCGCGCACUUAGAUCCUGGGGCAUUGCAUUUUGUCUUCAAGCUCGAGUCUGGUCCAUUGAGCUCGAACUCGACCUUACUUGAACUCGGGCUUAAAGCAACCCCUCAAGCCCGGAAAAUCGGGCAUACCUGAUUUCAACUGUAUACAAUAGUAAUAGUGUUUAAACUUUUAAAUUUGCUUCUCUAACUGUAAAGUCAUUUGAAAAGAUAAUACAUGUUAACAGACAAACGAAUCGCAUUUCUCUUUAAACUGGACAUAGAUUUCUUUGUGUCUUAGCAAUGACACCUGAGAAAAUUUGUUGAACAAAACUAACUCAUUUUAGUUUAAUGCAAGCAAUUCGGUAUAUAAGCUAUGUACCAACUAAUUGAAACGGUAAUUGUAACCAAAAAUAGAAAAUUACCAACACUUAUCUCUAAUGUCACUGUUGUGUUCUGUAAUGACAUUGAAAUCUUUGUACUAAUUAUGAAGUUGAAAUCGACAUAUUAAAAAUCAACCAGCAAAAUAAUGUUGGAUUAAUUAAAGAGUCCUUCUAGUUUAGUGGUUUAUAGUCCCAUUCUAAUUUUAUACAUGUAGAGCGUGUAUUAGCCAUAACAUGAAUAUGAGGUCAGGAGUAAAGCCCCUCCCUGUGCAAAGUAGUUUCCAACACUUGUUAUUAUCUAAUUAAUCACUGAAAUCUUUGAAAAAGAAAAGAAGCCAUGGAAAUUAUUAUCCAUUGGCUUUCCUUUAAGUUAUGGUCUUUUUCUCCAUUUACAGAAAGAAAUGCUAGCAAUAUCCCACAAAGAACAUGCCCCUUUGUACUUAAUUGCUUCAAAGUACAAGAGUAAUUAACGUUUCCACUAGUAUUAACAUUCAAGUGUAGCCUUAAUUGGAAACAGUCCAUGUGGCAAUAAUUUGGAUGGUCCAUGUGGCAGCAUAUAGUGCCAGUUUCCAUUUUCUUUUUUCAAAUAUUCUUGAAGAGGUCUAAUUCAGCUAAUUAACUUAUCCGAAAUAAAGCACUCUGUAAUGUGAUGUCCUUUCAAGAACUCUUUUUAUCUUCUGGCUUGUCGAGAUUUUGUCAUUUGUUACUCGAAAAUGCUCUAAUAAAUAGGCAGACGGAAUUUCUGUUUUUACAUAAAACUUAAAUAAACAGUGCUGUCCAAAAUUCUGAUCUCUUUUUUUGAGGGGUAGCUUCUCAAUGGAUCAUCAACACUUUUGAAAUACGAAUAAAUUAAAAAGAAGAGAGAGAGAGAGAGAGAUCGAAAGAGUGUGGCAAUGAAUUGUUUGCACUGUUGUUUAUGACACAAAAAUAAAGAUAUUAGUAGGAGUAUUUAAAGUAAAAUUUAAAGUAUAAGGGUCAACACACCUAUAUUUCGGCAUACGUGUGGAUUAAAAAUGUGUCGAUUAAUUCAUAUACCUCGUUAUUUUCACCUUCUUAUUCUUUCACUAUUUUCACUUAGAUCCCCGGCUUUAAUUAAAAAAUCACAGUCAAAUUAAAAUAAAAUUAGACUAAGUAGUUGUAAUCGUUAGGGUUGAUUAUGUCUGGAUAGAAGGUGUAGAGGUCAAGCAUUAGGAUUGUAGGUUAGGAGGGAGUCGAGCGUUUUUCUACUUUGUUUCCGGGGGCGGGACUAGGCUAAUUAUGUUUUGCCUUGGGUUGUUAGUGUUUUACGUAGCUGCCACACUUUUUCCUAUGGCAUUAGUACUGGUUACUGUUAUUGCUUUUUUGUUUCUUACGAUGCUGAUAUUAUUUUAUUUUUUUGUCUUCUAUUACUGUUACUGAUUUUUUGUCUAUUGUUUCUUUUCUUUUUCUUGAACCGAGAGUCUUUUGGAAACAACCUCUGUAUCCCCCGGGUAGGAGUAAGGUAUGCGUACACUCUAUCCUCCCCAGACUCCACUUGUGAGAUUUUUACUGUUGUUGUUGUAGUUGUAAUCGUGAUAUUCUUUUACGGAUAUAGGAAUUACAUAUCUUAUCAAGACAAUAUUAACUUAUGGCCACAUAAUAGAAAGAACAAACGAAAGAAAAAGGGGGAGAANNNNNNNNNNNNNNNNNNNNNNNNNNNNNNNNNNNNNNNNNNNNNNNNNNNNNNNNNNNNNNNNNNNNNNNNNNNNNNNNNNNNNNNNNNNNNNNNNNNNNNNNNNNNNNNNNNNNNNNNNNNNNNNNNNNNNNNNNNNNNNNNNNNNNNNNNNNNNNNNNNNNNNNNNNNNNNNNNNNNNNNNNNNNNNNNNNNNNNNNNNNNNNNNNNNNNNNNNNNNNNNNNNNNNNNNNNNNNNNNNNNNNNNNNNNNNNNNNNNNNNNNNNNNNNNNNNNNNNNNNNNNNNNNNNNNNNNNNNNNNNNNNNNNNNNNNNNNNNNNNNNNNNNNNNNNNNNNNNNNNNNNNNNNNNNNNNNNNNNNNNNNNNNNNNNNNNNNNNNNNNNNNNNNNNNNNNNNNNNNNNNNNNNNNNNNNNNNNNNNNNNNNNNNNNNNNNNNNNNNNNNNNNNNNNNNNNNNNNNNNNNNNNNNNNNNNNNNNNNNNNNNNNNNNNNNNNNNNNNNNNNNNNNNNNNNNNNNNNNNNNNNNNNNNCAGCACUUCACACUGUAAUAGGUCAUAAUUUGUCCCUUCUUGUCUUUCUUUGAUAGCAUUUUGAGUGGAUAACAACUGUUUACACCUAAUUCCACAAUUCAUCACUUUUACUAGGACUAGACUGCUCAAAAGAUACUUGAAUUGGAUUAAUCCGCUAUAACAUUUCGUCUCUUUGAAUUAAUCUUAAUUUCUAAUAUGAUCUUUAAAAUUGAAUGAUACUAAAACAACAACGGAGGAUUGUGGUAUGGUUGAGAUUGAUCACUCCAACCACGUUCAGAGGUUUUAGGUUCGAGUUUUGAGAAUAAAGAAUCUUUUAAUGUAGAACACAUAAUCAUCAAAUCUACUGACAUAAAUUUGAAUUAAUCGGCCUAGUGAAGUUUAUCCCUAGAGAGUGAUCGGACGCUAUAUUUUAUAAUAUUCAUGUUGAUUUUAGCAGCAAUGUAAUUUUUUAAUUAAUAAGCUGGAGUGAGAGAUAUUUUUGAUCAAUUGUCUCAGAUAUAUAAAAAAGGAAGGGAUGGAGAAAAGACGUAGUGCACUCUGCCAGUCUUGAUUUUGACAUCCUCAGGGCCUUUGUGCCGACUUAACUUCUUGUACUCUAAAGGACAAAACCUCAUAUUUAAGCCUGAAUAUUCAACAGUGAAUCAUAGGUAAUCAGUGCCUUCUUACUUCCCAAAGUAGAUAAAGAUGUAACAGUACGUGGUACUAGAGUAAAUUUAUAGAAAAUCCAGUAUACAGGGAAAAGCUUUUGUUCUGGAAAAAUUCUUCAAUUUCUUCUUUUUAACUUUUGAAAGGAUUGUCCCUAAUUUGUUAGAUACCUUUUCUUGUCCUCGUUGACCUAUUGGGGAGUGUUCAGUUAUGAUUUUUUCGAUUAUCCUCCCAUGAAUGUGAUCUUUUAACAUUGAUAAUUAAACUGAUAAAUAUAAUUUGUAGUAACUUGAGAUACAUUAUUAAGCUGGGACUUAAUUGCCAGGGCAUAAUUUACAAUCAAACCAGGUCAAAGUCGUCAUGGAUCCUUUAAGAACAAAGUAUGUCCUAAUUUAUAUAAGCGGACCUGAUUCUUUUUUAGGGAAAACGUCCAAAUUUAUUUCUCUACUUUUGAAUAUUGUCUACGUCUAAUCAUCGUUAUAUUAUUCGGUCAAAUUUACUCUUAUCAUCAGUAAGUACACUUUUAAAAAUUACCCCUCAGUCCGUUAGGUAAUUCAAAAUCUCCCAAAUCCCAUUUUGUUAAAUCAUUUGUUAUUCUUCUUGAUCCAGUAUUUUCAGAAAUUUCUAUUAAUGAGAAUGGCAAAUGCUCUAAACUAUACAAAAUAUUCAUGAAUAUUUUUAAUUACCACUGCACCCACUUCUCUUCUUUGCUAAUGGUUUUUGAAUUGGUUUAAAUUUUUUAUAAUUUUCAACCAUGAACACACCGCAGAAUUUUGUGGGUCUAUUUGUUAUAGUAUAUUAUAUGCGGCUAAUCAUCAUGUAUGUCCAUGUAUAUUCGAAUAUAUUUUGAAAUUGUCUAGUAAGUAUUGAGUUCAGUCCACAAACUUAAUAGUGCACAUUGCGUAGGCAUUUGAUUAAAGUAAAGUUGAAUUUGAACAAUGCAAAAUCUCCGAGAAACUUUAACUUCUAUCACUAAUACUUGCAAAGUCUUCGUAUCUUUGGUGGAACAAAUUCAUUAAAGUUGAGGUGUUGUAAAUACUUUUAAAAUUUAGACAAGCUACCUAAUUUAGAUUCUUUAACUUGCUAUACUUUGUUUACUAAGUGCUACAUUGUUUUAAAAUUCUUUUUUUUAUUUUUUUUUUUCAAUUAAGAAAGCAUGUAAAUGCCAAUUAUUUUAAAAAUAGUGGAUCAAGAAGAAGAAUAAGUGACUUAACUAAAAUAAUUUGGGAGAUUUGGGGUCACCUGACGGAGUGAGGGGUAAUUUUUAAAAGUUUGUUGGUGAUAGGGGUAAAUUUGGCUGAAUAGUAUAACGGAGGUUAGAUGUAAAUAAUAUUCAAAAGUAGAAGGAUAAAUUUGGAUCUUUUCCUUUUUUUUAUGGGACAACACGUGAUAUUUUUGUUUAAUGAGUAGCGACGAGAUUUGAACUAAAGAGCUCUAUUUAAUCUAACACCAUAUUAAAUUGUAUAAUAAUCUUAUAAAAAUUUAAACGAAUAACUACCUACACAAAAAUUUCUUUACAAUAUAGUUAAACUCUUAAAUGUAUUAUGCCUUCAACGUUCCAAAUGUUUUGCACCUAUAUCCAGUUCAACAUUUAAAACCAGUAAUAACAGUGGUGACAUUUUGUUCCCGUUUCACCUACGAUACUUUAUGAGUCAAAUUAUGAAAUUUAAGCUAUUAAUUUUUGGAGUAAUUCUUUGAACCGUUUGCAAAAUCCACAGUCAUAAUACUACUCCCUCUGUCCCAGUGCUAUUUCUUUUUUGGUCCGUUCCAAAAAGAAUGAACCCUUUCUAAAUUUGGUAACAAUUUAGCUUAAAGUUACAACUCUAUCCUUAAUGAGAAGCGUUUAUAACCAUACAAAUACUUUGGGUUCCAUUUGGACUUGUUUAGGACCACAAAUUCCAAAAGUCUUCAUUUCUUUCUUAAACUCCGUGCUCAGUCAACAGAUUCACAUAAAUUAGAACGGAGUGAUUACUUCAUUUUCGAUCUAAGAAAACACUGUGUAUGUCAGUGCAUUGAAUAGGACGUACGGCUACUGUGAGAGUUAAAUCAAAUAAAACAAUAGCUUAUUCACAUAAAUAUGUACGGUUUAACAAGCAUAUCUCUGUUUCAAACAGCUGAAACUUCCUUAGUUAGAAAUGUAAAUUAUAUGAAGGUUCUUUUUGAACUAAUGUUUUCUGUUUUCGAAUUGAGUAGGCAGUCAUGCAUAUUAUAACAAAGAGAAACCGAGACUGUGAAUACGUCUGCCAUAAUAUGAUGAGCUUAUGGCUUGCGUUCCCAGGCUUUUCUUUUUUCUUUUGACAAAAGUUAAUGAAAUCGUCUUCCAUAUUUUUAGGCAAAUGCAGCAUAGCUUUCUUCUAUUUUACCUACUCUUUUCUUUUUCCAAAGUUAGUAGCCUUAGCUAUCCGUACGAUCGACAUGCAUGCAUAGUGCACGUGAGAUGGUGUGUUUUAUUCCUCAAUUAAUACCUUUAAACUUAGUAGAAUUAAUGGUACUCCAUAAUAUUCCUUGUAUAGUACUGUACAAACUCAAUAAUAAACCAAAAACAGCUAAGAAAAAUUGAGGGGGUGAGGGGAUGGAAAUUUUUGGAUUUUAUCUUGCAUGGCGUUAAUUCCAUAUGUUAUGAUACUCUUUCUAUUUUGAUAUGUAUCGACAUGUACGUUGGUAUCAUUCUACUGCUAAUACUUCCUUUUUGUGUAAAUCCGGGCAUAGAUUUAUAAGGUUUUUUAAAAUAAAAUUUUCAUAUUUAAAACUGCAUACGUGAAAAGUACUAGUCCUCCCAUUUCAAUAGAUUGACACUAUUUUCUUAUUAGUUCGUUCCAAAAAAAAUUUACACAUUCAUAUAUUUCCUUAAUUAUAGCCAUACAAAUAUUAUAACUUAUUUAAGAUCAUAAGUUUCAAAAGCUUUAUAGUCACACAAAUUUUAAAGCAUGUUUAAUACCACACGUUUAAAAGUCUUCCUCUCUUAUUAAAACUUUGUUUCAAGUCAAAGUAAGACAAAUAAAACAAAUUAAAACAAAAAGAGUAUAAAUUAAGAUAAUUAAUAAGUCCAAAUAUUUAAAUUAUAGUCAAGAAAAAAGCACUUUUGACUCCCAAAUAAUGAUAGUGUCAAAAAUGAGAUAUAAAAAUAUUAUUAACACAACUUUUAAGAAUCACAUUUUCCUUUAGCUUUAUUAUUCUUUAAUUUUUGUAUGAUAUUUUCUAUCAAAUUAUGUCUACAUUAAUUUAAUAUUUGCUUUAUACCUAGUCUAAAGGUAAAAAUUUAGCUGCAGUAGGUGUUUGCACCAAAUAUAUACCGUAAUAUUAAUUAUAAUUAAGUGAAAUAAUUGUAUAUAUAAACACAUAUUAUGUACCUAUUGAUUUAGUGUAAAUAUAAAGUACAAGUUAGUUUUUAGUACUCCUAGUCAAAUGAUAUUAAAUAAAAUAAAACAAAAGAAAUAUCAAAGGGGAGCAUUGGUGUAACUGGUAAAGUUGUUACCAUGUGUCCAGAAAGUCACGAGUUCGAGCCGUGGAAAUAACAUCUUGGUCCAGCCCUUUCCGAGAUCUCACACAUAUCGAAAGGGAGCAUAUUUGCAUAACUGGUAAAAUUCUUACCAUGAGACCAGAAGGUCACGGAUUCGAGCCGUAAAAAUAGUCUCUUGGUCCGACCCUUCCCGGGAUCUCAUGCAUAACCGAAGCUUAGUGCACCGGAAUCCCACGCAUAGCGAAAGCUUAGUAUACCGUGGUGCCUUUUAAGAGCAAGGAAAUAUCAUUCUAGAAUUGUGCACUGCUGGCGGAGGUACAAAUCGUGACCAUGCAUGAUAACAUCAACAGCUGUCAUGUAUGCCGGCAUAGUUUUAAGUCUAUUACAAAGUCUUCAUUAAAGAGUUAUAUGAAGAUUAUUAUGAUUUUAUAAUAAAGCAAGUUAGGUUAAAAGCUCUCUUAUGUCGCAAAAAUUAAAGACUAAAUUACUGGUAGCAAAUUUUAUUAUUAGCCAACCCUUAUAAAUAUCUGCCCAACCACAUUAGUUCCUUGUCACAAAGUACCAUAUCUUCACUCCUAUCCCAUAUCUCUUCCUCUCUCUCCUUUUUUCUUCAUUUGUUUUUUAAAAGAUGGAUAAAAAACCAUGCAACUCUCAAGAUGUUGAAGUGAGGAAAGGACCUUGGACUAUGGAAGAGGAUUUAAUUCUCAUUAACUACAUUGCUAAUCAUGGUGAAGGUGUUUGGAAUUCCUUAGCUAAAUCUGCUGGUAAUUUUUCCCUUUUUUCCCCUUAAUUCCUUUGUCAGUAACAAAACCCUAGAUAUCAUUUUGUUAUAUGUAGGAACACUAUUUUAUAUGUCUCAAUAUUCUUUCUCUAGGUCUCAAACGUACCGGAAAAAGCUGUCGGCUCCGGUGGCUAAAUUAUCUCCGGCCUGAUGUCCGGAGGGGAAAUAUUACACCUGAAGAACAACUUUUGAUAAUGGAACUGCAUGCUAAGUGGGGAAACAGGUGAGUAUUUCUAAAGAUCGUAGUACAUAAAAUAAUUAAAAUUCAAUUGCAAAAGAAAAAAUUGGAAACUGAUGGAAUUUUUUCCAUCAAGUUUUGAUUCUCCCAUUUGUUGAGUGGACAAAGAGAGCCGCUCAAAAUAUUGUCAAAAAUGAUUCUAAUCUCGUGGCUGUGACCCAUAACCUGUUCAUCGUGGUACUAGAUUUGGAAUGAAAGAAAGUGAGUAUUUAAAACGUGUUAUAUGUUUAUGGCUACGUACUGAAGAUCUUAGAAUUGAAACGUGGGGAAUAUAAUCUAUAGCUACGGCAGCUAAAUUUUGUUCCCUUUAUUUUUUUUGGUCCUAUCAAAAGUUCUUCUUCCUAAACCACUCAUCUACCCUAUGUCUUCCAUGAAUAAAAUUUAAAAAUGAUUAUUUUCCUUUUCUUAAGCUUAUUUUUCAGAUCUAUUAUCGAGCUAUAUAGUACUCCUUCUAUUCCAGUUUAUGUGAACCUAUUUCCUUUUUGGUUCGUUCCAAAAAAAUGACCUCUUUCUAAAUUUGGUAACAAUUUAGCUUAAACUUACAAUUCUACCCUUAAUGAGAAGCUUUUAUAAUCACACAAACACUCUGGGCCCCUUUUUGACUUGUUUAGGACCACAAAUUCCAAAAGUCUUUAUUUUUUUUUAAACUCCGUGUCUAGUCAAAUAGGUUCGCUUAAAUUGGAACGGAGGGAGUAUAUAUACUAAAGAAACCAUACUAAUAAUAAAACAUACAGUUUUUGGAGAAUUUAUUUCCCAUACAAGAAGCUCUUUUUGUUCAAGUAUUUUUUUUUUCUUAAUGAUAAAGCACAUUUUGUAUUAUUUUCUAUUUUAAGGAAAUUAUUUUUAAAACCAUUUUAUGCUUUAUUCUUUUUUUAAAAAGUGCUUUAUUACUUGAGUUUGACAACCUAAGAUAGAUCUUUAGGCUAAUAAUCACAUUAAAGGCAAGCUUGGGAUGUUGAUUAACUUGUAUGAAGUGAUAACAAUGUCACUUCCACAAUUAUUAUUAGAAAGAAAAUUACGCUUUAAGAAUAUGAUUACAUGUACUUCAUUUGUUUUCCAAUUAAACUAAGUAGAAAAGGACAGUGGUGAGACAAGGAUUCGGUCUUACAUAAUAAUAAUAGCAGUGGAUAUAGAACACGUUUUCAAAGAAAGCCAGAAAGAUAGAAGUUUCCGUUUUUAGAAGAACCGAUUUCAUUUUAGUCACAUGUCAAGCCCUUUAACUGCUAUCUCUAGUCUCUAGUUUUCAAAGAGAAGCUCCCACCUCCAAGUUGCUUAUGAAAUUGACAGCUACCUUAUGUUUUUGUUGGUAUUUAAAGACAAUGGGCCCCUUUUCCGUACAUUAGAAAUUUUACUUGUAUAAUACUUCAUGUUUCGGUUUAGAUGAGGUAAGAAAAAAAUUAGAAACUUUUGAAACUUGUGAUCUUAAAAGUUUAAGGGAUAAAAGCUUUGUGAGGUCAUGAUAUUUGUGUGGUUGUAAAAGUUUCUCAUUAAAGGUAAAAUGAGUAAAGUGAAAAGUUUAACGUUGAAUUAUUUUUAACAAUAGAAAUGUGUCAUUCUUUUUAAAACAGACUAAUAAGAAAAGUGUGUCAUCUAAAUUGAAACGGAGGAAAUACUUACAUGAUUAAUUCCAUUGGAUGAUUGUGAUCUCUCCACCAUUAGAUAUCUUGAAUUUGAGUGAUAAGAAUGAAGAUUUUCUUGAUAACUUGUGCUUUACCUUCUUGGCACAAAUCUAAACUAGUCGAAUUAAUGGGCUUGGGAUACAAAGAUAGUUAAACAUAACAAAAAAUAGUUAGUAUGUAAAAACAAGAUCGUCAGUGUUUUAACACCAUGAUUGAAAAACUAGAAUCCAAUAAGAAAUUGCUAGCCUGUGUUAAGAUAUAAAUUGCAAUUAACUAAUUAAAAUUAUGUUUUUUAAUAAUUUAUUAAGUUAUUAUAUGUUGACAUGAGGUUAAGAUAACCACUUUGUUAGUACUUGUUUCUGCAUGCUUAAAGGAAAAAACAGAAACAAAAAGAAGACACUAGCUAGCUUGGCCCACAAAAUUAAUCACUAGAUAUAUAAUGCAAGAAAUUUUACAAGGCUGACAAAUUGCAUUUUCAAAAGUGAUAGCAGACAAUUUUUGUUGUUGUUUAUUUAUGAAGUCAUCAGCUGCUAGUCAAAUCCUAACUGCCACAAAAUAGGCUUUAUUUCAUCAGUCAAGAAGUCGUUUAUGAAAUAUAUUUUCUUUUCCUCAAUUGCAAGACAUUAAAGGAAAAGAUAUUUUAUUCUCCUCUUAUUUUUUGGAGGUUUUGAUGUGUGACUGAGUAUAUACAAUUAAAUGUGACAAUCAUCAAAAUUGAUUUUUUUUCUUAAAAAAUUUGGGUUUAAAUAUUGAACGAUACUAGUUUAUAUAAUGUAACAUAACACGUACUACUGUAUUUAUUAUAUUAUGUGGCUAGUGAUAGUGUAACGUUACCAUAAAACUAGUUGACGACGAUUAGGCAUUGCAAAGACGUCUGUAUUCUUCAUCAGCUUGGCAUCGUCUUCAGCUUACUCUAAUAUUUGAUGACUUCUUUCAAUUUGUUACUCUUUUGGAGGCAUUGGUGACUCUACUAUUGGAGAAGUUGUAAGUGUCCUGUGAGGAGGAUUUCUUUUGUUUCAACGUUUUGUAAGUUUGAGUUUCGUUUAAAUAAAUAUAUAGGAGAAGGAGGCAAACGUGACUUUGAAUUUCAACCACAGAACAUGACAGGCAUUAUUUGUCAACAACAAACGUGAUUGAAAUGCUUAUUUCAAUUAUGAAAAACCUGUAAUCUAACUUUGUGGGCCAUGAACAUAUUGACACUCUUACCAACAUCUUAGGGGGGAAAAAAUUAAUACUUUAUAUUAUUGCUUUAUUGGAUUAGUAUGUUAUAAAAUUGCUAUAGCAGAUCUAUUAACCAUGUAUUUUUCAGUCUCACGUUAAAGAUGUUACUAGAAGUUUACUGAAGAUUAAGUGUUAACAAUAGGACUUUUUGCAAUUGUUCUUGUUAAAUAAUUACUUACUGUCUGUUCUUGUUACAUUAUCCUCUUUUUCCGUUGAAAUAUCGCAGUUGAUAAUGUUGUAAUAUAUGGUGCGCGUAGAUGUCACAUGCAGAAUUAGG
rnacentral:lncRNA from 1 species